rnacentral:rRNA from 1 species
CAGUCGCCGCGGGAAUACGAAGGGGGCUAGCGUUGUUCGGAUUUACUGGGCGUAAAGCGCACGUAGGCGGAUCGAUCAGUCAGGGGUGAAAUCCUGGAGCUCAACUCCAGAACUGCCUUUGAUACUGUCGAUCUCGAGUCCGGAAGAGGUGAGUGGAACUCCUAGUGUAGAGGUGGAAUUCGUAGAUAUUAGGAAGAACACCAGUGGCGAAGGCGACUAUCUGGGCCAACACUGACACUGAGGCACGAAAGCGUGGGGAGCAAACAGGAUUAGAUACCCCAGUAGUCCCUGUCUCUUAUAC